rnacentral:rRNA from 1 species
GUGGGGACUCUAUUCAGACUGCCUGCGCAAGCAGAGAGGAAGGAGGGGACGACGUCAAGUCAUCAUGGCCCUUACGCCCGGGGCUACACACGUGCUACAAUGGCUAUUACAGAGGGUAGCGACUGAGUGAUCAGUAGCCAAUCUCAAAAAGAUAGUCACAGUUCGGAUUGAAGGCUGCAACUCGCCUUCAUGAAGCUGGAAUCGCUAGUAAUCGCGCAUCAGCAAUGGCGCGGUGAAUACGUUCCCGGACCUUGUACACACCGCCCGUCAAGCCAUGGAAGCUGGGGUGACCUGAAGUCGGCAGGUACAGUGCCGAUAAGGGUAAAACCGGUGACUGGGGCUAAGUCGUAACAAGGUAGCCGUACCGGAAGGUGUGGCUGGAACACCUCCUUU